GGUAACCUACCCAUCAGAGGGGGAUAACACUUGGAAACAGGUGCUAAUACCGCAUAACAGUUUAUGCCGCAUGGCAUAAGAGUGAAAGGCGCUUUCGGGUGUCGCUGAUGGAUGGACCCGCGGUGCAUUAGCUAGUUGGUGAGGUAACGGCUCACCAAGGCCACGAUGCAUAGCCGACCUGAGAGGGUGAUCGGCCACACUGGGACUGAGACACGGCCCAGACUCCUACGGGAGGCAGCAGUAGGGAAUCUUCGGCAAUGGACGAAAGUCUGACCGAGCAACGCCGCGUGAGUGAAGAAGGUUUUCGGAUCGUAAAACUCUGUUGUUAGAGAAGAACAAGGACGUUAGUAACUGAACGUCCCCUGACGGUAUCUAACCAGAAAGCCACGGCUAACUACGUGCCAGCCGCCGCGGUAA
rnacentral:rRNA from 1 species